rnacentral:rRNA from 1 species
AUGCCCCUCUCUGAAGACGAGGUGAUCCUCGGCGACGAAGAAUUCAUCGUGCCUGAGGAUCCCGUCGAGCAGGAGCGCUUCAAGUGUCGGCUUAUAGCCACAGCAAAAAGCCUGAAGAAAAAGCAGCAACAGCUUCAAGCUGAUCAAGAUCUGCUAGCGGAUAGAUGGACCGAGGUCCUGGCAGCCGAGGAAUACAAACUCGAGCGCCCAACCAAAAGUUACCCAAAACGCAGGUUGCUAUCCCAACUCGAGGAGGAAGCAUUAAAGCCUACACUACCAGCGUAUGAUGCGGCUGACCGGCCACCUCGUGGCCGAGACAAAGCGGCGUAUCAGCCCGAAUUCCAGCCCACACCCCGUCGCCAGUUAAACAAAAACACCAAGGCCCGGGGCUACACGCAGGACCUGCGAGAAGUAUUGGAAAACAAAGGAGGACAUACAAGAUCGAUCUACGGAUCACGGGGGCGCGCCCCAACGCGUAACGACGACCGUCACGCAGGAUAUACUAAAAGCAAAUCCGGCCGGGCCGAAUACAGCAGACUAGACUCGUACGAACUGCGUCGUGAUAUAGCCCGGCACAGAGGCGCCGGACACCCCCUAUGCUUCACUGAUGAAGUAAUGGAUCAUGAAUUCCCAAAAGGGUUUAAACCCGUGAACAUUGAAUCAUAUGAUGGUACUACAGACCUCGCGGUAUGGAUAGAGGAUUUCUUCCUCCACAUUCACAUGGUCCGCGGGGAUGAUCUACACGCCAUCAAGUAUCUCCCACUAAAACUCAAAGGGCCGGCUCGGCAUUGGCUGAAUAGCUUGCCGGCAAACUCCAUUGGAAGUUGGGAGAACCUGGCAGACGCAUUCCUGGACAACUUCCAGGGCACUUAUGUGCGACCACCGGAUGCUGAUGAUUUAAGUCACAUAACCCAACAGCUCGGAGAGUCAGCCAGGAAAUUCUGGACUAGGUUCCUAACUAAAAAGAACGAAAUUGUCGACUGUCCGGAUGCCGAAGCCCUAGCGGCCUUUAAACAUAACAUCCGUGACGAGUGGCUUGCCCGACACCUCGGCCAAGAGAAGCCAAAAUCCAUGGCAGCCCUCAUGAUACGUCUCCAACGUAUCUAUAAUUUAUGA